rnacentral:pre_miRNA from 1 species
AAUAAGAUCAUUUUUCAGUUUUCUGAUACAAUGUUUUGACUCUUCGCCUUAUUUGAAUUUUUUUGCGAUUAAUAUUUUUAUUCUUAUUAGAUGAUGAAACAUGAAUAAUAUUUUAUGCAUGACUAUUUUUUUAAAAGUUUUUUACAAAUUUUUUAAAUAAGACGAAUAAUCAAACGUUAGAUACGGAAAA